ACGCUGGCGGCAGGCCUAACACAUGCAAGUCGAGCGGUAACACAGGAGAGCUUGCUCUCUGGGUGACGAGCGGCGGACGGGUGAGUAAUGUCUGGGAAACUGCCUGAUGGAGGGGGAUAACUACUGGAAACGGUAGCUAAUACCGCAUGACGUCGCAAGACCAAAGUGGGGGACCUUCGGGCCUCACGCCAUCGGAUGUGCCCAGAUGGGAUUAGCUAGUAGGUGAGGUAAUGGCUCACCUAGGCGACGAUCCCUAGCUGGUCUGAGAGGAUGACCAGCCACACUGGAACUGAGACACGGUCCAGACUCCUACGGGAGGCAGCAGUGGGGAAUAUUGCACAAUGGGCGCAAGCCUGAUGCAGCCAUGCCGCGUGUGUGAAGAAGGCCUUCGGGUUGUAAAGCACUUUCAGCGAGGAGGAAGGCGUUGUAGUUAAUAACUGCAGCGAUUGACGUUACUCGCAGAAGAAGCACCGGCUAACUCCGUGCCAGCAGCCGCGGUAAUACGGAGGGUGCAAGCGUUAAUCGGAAUUACUGGGCGUAAAGCGCACGCAGGCGGUUUGUUAAGUCAGAUGUGAAAUCCCCGAGCUUAACUUGGGAACUGCAUUUGAAACUGGCAAGCUAGAGUCUUGUAGAGGGGGGUAGAAUUCCAGGUGUAGCGGUGAAAUGCGUAGAGAUCUGGAGGAAUACCGGUGGCGAAGGCGGCCCCCUGGACAAAGACUGACGCUCAGGUGCGAAAGCGUGGGGAGCAAAC
rnacentral:rRNA from 1 species